UACGGAGGAUGCGAGCGUUAUCCGGAUUUACUGGGUGUAAAGGGAGCGUAGACGGCGGUGCAAGCCAGAUGUGAAAGUCCGGGGCUCAACCCCGGGACUGCAUUUGGAACUGUGCUGCUAGAGUGUCGGAGAGGCAGGCGGAAUUCCUAGUGUAGCGGUGAAAUGCGUAGAUAUCAGGAGGAAUACCGUUAGCGAAGGCGGCAAUCUGGCUGGAAACUGACGCUGAGGUGCGAAAGCGUGGGUAGCAAACAGG
rnacentral:rRNA from 1 species